rnacentral:rRNA from 1 species
AACGAACGCUGGCGGCAGGCUUAACACAUGCAAGUCGAACGCUGUGGCAACACAGAGUGGCAGACGGGUGAGUAACACGUGGGAACGUACCCUUCGGUUCGGAAUAACACAGGGAAACUUGUGCUAAUACCGGAUACGUCCGUAAGGAGAAAGGUUUACCGCCGAAGGAUCGGCCCGCGUCUGAUUAGCUAGUUGGUGAGGUAACGGCUCACCAAGGCGACGAUCAGUAGCUGGUCUGAGAGGAUGAUCAGCCACAUUGGGACUGAGACACGGCCCA